rnacentral:tRNA from 1 species
GGGGACUUAGCUUAGUUGGUAGAGCGCCUGCUUUGCACGCAGGAGGUCAGGA